rnacentral:rRNA from 1 species
GGGGAAUAUCGCACAAUGGAGGAAACUCUGAUGCAGCGAUGCCGCGUGAGGGAAGAAGGUUUUAGGAUUGUAAACCUCUGUCUUCAGGGACGAAAAAAAGACGGUACCUGAGGAGGAAGCUCCGGCUAACUACGUGCCAGCAGCCGCGGUAAUACGUAGGGAGCGAGCGUUGUCCGGAAUUACUGGGUGUAAAGGGAGCGUAGGCGGGAUCGCAAGUCAGAUGUGAAAACUAUGGGCUUAACCCAUAAACUGCAUUUGAAACUGUGGUUCUUGAGUGAAGUAGAGGUAAGCGGAAUUCCUAGUGUAGCGGUGAAAUGCGUAGAUAUUAGGAGGAACAUCAGUGGCGAAGGCGGCUUACUGGGCUUUAACUGACGCUGAGGCUCGAAAGCGUGGGGAGCAAAC